UCGUCACCACUACUCCGCCAUCAAGCCCCCUUGCUCCUUCACCAAAAAGGACAAGGAUUGAAACGAUCAUUGAGCCUGCCCCUCAAUUGGGUAGCUCUUCUACUCCGCUCUUGGAUGAUCCCAUGAUCAAAGAGCUUAUUCGCAUCGGAUCCCAAUUCAUUGGGUACCGUGAGUAUGCCAGCAGAACUGAAGAGAAACUUGCAGAGGCCAACAAGCUUGCCGACACUCUUGCUCAAACACUGGAGCAAAGUGAAGCGGCCCGCAAGAAAGCCAAAC